GACGAACGCUGGCGGCGUGCUUAACACAUGCAAGUGGAGCGACGAGCCAGGGCUUGCCCUGGGGCAGAGCCGCGAACGGGUGAGUAACACGUGGGUAACGUGCCCCGAUGACUGGGACAACCCGGGGAAACCCGGGCUAAUACCGGAUAUGCCCCCUGACAUCUGUCAGGUGUGUAAAGGAAGCUUCGGCCUCCGCAUCGGGAUCGGCCCGCGGCGCAUUAGCUUGUUGGUGGGGUAACGGCCUACCAAGGCAACGAUGCGUAGCUGGUCAGGGAGGACGAUCAGCCACACUGGGACUGAGACACGGCCCAGACUCCUACGGGAGGCAGCAGUGGGGAAUCUUGCACAAUGCGCGAAAGCGUGAUGCAGCAACGCCGCGUGCGGGAAGACGGCCUUCGGGUUGUAAACCGCUUUCAGUUGGGACGAAGGUCGGCGCGUUAAUAGCGGGUCCGACUGACGGUACCUUCACAAGAAGCUCCGGCUAACUACGUGCCAGCCGCCGCAGUAACAC
rnacentral:rRNA from 1 species